UCUGUUAAUAAAUUAUUGGAAGGAAGAAUUACAUGUGAAGGCUGGACAGAAAAUGUGUUAAAACUGGCUAGUGUGAGAAUUGUUUUUGAUGUGAAAGCCAGUGAAUGCCAUUGAUUUUAUCUUUUAAAUGACAUGUUAAAAAUACCUAUCCAUUAAAGUACUUAUCUGUUUGUUGCAUAGGGGCAAGAGAAAUUUCAAAAGCGAGGAUGUGAGAUCUACCCUUAUACGGUUCACAGAUGAGUUAAGGAGUGCAGAUGCCCCAGGGCAGCUAGAGAACAAGCAAAAUCAGUCCUCAAGCAUUUUCCUGCUUUUCUCAAAUAUGUGGGAAGACAUCUAAGCAGGAAGAGACAUAGUUGGCUGUAGAUACAGGACCGAAGAAAACAGAUUAACUUGCUCAAGCUAAUUUCAGAUGGUUUAUACACCCAAGAAAAGUCAUUCAAACAAGCCUCAAGCUUAUCCAUAAACUACUCAAAUGUGGAGUCCCUAUUUCCUUUAAAUGUGUAAUAUAAUUAUAUUUUCUUUAAUAUUAAUUUUGCUUCCUCCUUAGAAGGAAACCUACUUAUCUGUAAAUUACAUUUCAAAUCUAAUUAUCAUGUCAAUUUGCAGAUGGUUUAAUAAAGAAAAACAAUUGCAUGCCAGAUUUAAUCUGACUCUUUGGAUCUUUUGUAAUUUCAGUUAAGAUAUUACACAGAGUAGUUACAACAGCACAAUACUGGAAUAAAACAAAUGAAUAAUCAUUUUUUUUUUUAGUGGAAGAGGAAAAUAUAA